UUGCUUUGGCAGUAUGUAAACUAAAAUUGGAACAAUACAGACAAAAUUAGUACUGUGGCCCUGUGCAAGGAGGACACACAAAUUUGUGAAGUAUUUCAUGUUUUU
rnacentral:snRNA from 1 species